GACGAACGCUGGCGGCGUGCUUAACACAUGCAAGUCGAGCGGUAAGGCCCUUUCGGGGGUACACGAGCGGCGAACGGGUGAGUAACACGUGGGUGACCUGCCCUCAGCUCUGGGAUAAGCCUGGGAAACUGGGUCUAAUACCGGAUAUGACUCCAUGACGCAUGUUGUGGGGUGGGAAGCCUUGUGCGGCUGAGGAUGGGCCCGCGGCCUAUCAGCUUGUUGGUGGGGUGANGGCCUACCAAGGCGACGACGGGUAGCCGGCCUGAGAGGGCGACCGGCCACACUGGGACUGAGACGCGGCCCAGACUCCUACGGGAGGCAGCAGUGGGGAAUCUUGCGCAAUGGGCGAAAGCCUGACGCAGCGACGCCGCGUGAGGGAUGACGGCCU
rnacentral:rRNA from 1 species